rnacentral:rRNA from 1 species
GAGUUUGAUCCUGGCUCAGAUUGAACGCUGGCGGCAUGCCUUACACAUGCAAGUCGAACGGUAACAGGUCUUCGGACGCUGACGAGUGGCGAACGGGUGAGUAAUACAUCGGAACGUGCCCAGUCGUGGGGGAUAACUACUCGAAAGAGUAGCUAAUACCGCAUACGAUCUGAGGAUGAAAGCGGGGGACCUUCGGGCCUCGCGCGAUUGGAGCGGCCGAUGGCAGAUUAGGUAGUUGGUGGGAUAAAAGCUUACCAAGCCGACGAUCUGUAGCUGGUCUGAGAGGACGACCAGCCACACUGGGACUGAGACACGGCCCAGACUCCUACGGGAGGCAGCAGUGGGGAAUUUUGGACAAUGGGCGAAAGCCUGAUCCAGCAAUGCCGCGUGCAGGAUGAAGGCCUUCGGGUUGUAAACUGCUUUUGUACGGAACGAAAAAGCUUCUCCUAAUACGAGAGGCCCAUGACGGUACCGUAAGAAUAAGCACCGG